GAUGAACGCUGGCGGCGUGCCUAAUACAUGCAAGUCGAGCGAACAGACGAGAAGCUUGCUUCUCUGAAGUUAGCGGCGGACGGGUGAGUAACACGUGGAUAACCUACCUAUAAGACUGGGAUAACUUCGGGAAACCGGAGCUAAUACCGGAUAAUAUUUUGAACCGCAUGGUUCAAUAGUGAAAGACGGUCUUGCUGUCACUUAUAGAUGGAUCCGCGCUGCAUUAGCUAGUUGGUAAGGUAACGGCUUACCAAGGCAACGAUGCGUAGCCGACCUGAGAGGGUGAUCGGCCACACUGGAACUGAGACACGGUCCAGACUCCUACGGGAGGCAGCAGUAGGGAAUCUUCCGCAAUGGGCGAAAGCCUGACGGAGCAACGCCGCGUGAGUGAUGAAGGUCUUCGGAUCGUAAAACUCUGUUAUUAGGGAAGAACAUAUGUGUAAGUAACUGUGCACGUCUUGACGGUACCUAAUCAGAAAGCCACGGCUAACUACGUG
rnacentral:rRNA from 1 species